GCGGCGUAGGGGAGAGUAACGCGUAGAUAUCUGCCUCGAGGCCCGGGAUAGCGGCGGGAAACUGCCGGUAAUACCGGAUAACAUCUCCGGAUCAAAGGUGUGAUUCCGCCUCGAGAUGAGUCUGCGUCCUAUUAAUGCUUGUUGGUGUGGUAACGGCGCACCAAGGCGAAGAUGGGUACCGGGUGUGAGAGCAUGGCCCGGCUCACUGGGACUGAGACACUGCCCAGACACCUACGGGUGGCUGCAGUCGAGAAUCUUCGGCAAUGGGCGAAAGCCUGACCGAGCGACGCCGCGUGCGGGAUGAAGGCCCUCGGGUUGUAAACCGCUGUCAGUAGGGAGCAAAUCUCUUGGGGUUAUCCCCUUGAGUUGAGCGAUCUUCAGAGGAAGUACGGGCUAAGUUCGUGCCAGCAGCCGCGGUAAGACGAACCGUACGAACGUUAUUCGGAAUCACUGGGCUUAAAGAGUCCGUAGGCGGCCGUGUAGGUGGGAUGUGAAAGCCCUCGUCUCAACCGAGGAAUUGCGUUCCAAACCACAUGGCUUGAGGAGGAUAGAGGUGAGCGGAACUGAUGGUGGAGCGGUGAAAUGCGUUGAUAUCAUCAGGAACACCAGAGGCGAAGGCGGCUCACUGGGUCCUUUCUGACGCUGAGGGACGAAAGCUAGGGGAGCAAACGGGAUUAGAUACCCCCGGGUAGUCCUAGCUGUAAACGAUGAGCACUAGAUCGAGGGGGACUUCCACAUCCUUCUUCGGUCGUAGCGAAAGUGUUAAGUUGCUCCCGCCCUCGGGGAAGUAUAGUCGCCAAGCGUGA
rnacentral:rRNA from 1 species